rnacentral:tRNA from 9 species
GCGGGUAUCGUAUAAUGGUUAUUACGACAGUUUUCCAAACUGUGAAUAGGGGUUCGAUUCCCCUUACCCGCUCAA